CAACAAGAAUCUCCUAGGCUCGAAACGUAUAUAAAAGAGUUCACAGUAAAUAUACAAGCAUCCAAGAAAUUUUGGUAUAUAAUGACUAUAUGAUACAUCAAGGACAAAUCUCAAACCAAGCAUUUAGAUGACGACAUGCCCAAACAAAUGAUUAAACAUUACCAAACAAAUGAUACAUACAGAAGGUGGAAUUAAGGAAAAAACUAAAUUAACAGCAGCAGGAACAGUGGCAAGCAGCAGCAGCAGUAGUACAGAGUCGCCAACAUCCAACUUCCACUGUAGAAAUCAAAUUUAGUGGUGUUGCCUCCUCCAAUAAUAUGAAACAAAACUAGGCAACAUACACCACAGUUCAAAGCCUCAACAUUAGUGAUAGACCAGAGUAAGUCUCAAAUACGGUCAGAUACGUGCACUGCUAUCCAAUCAAAACCUUUAACUGGAGAGCUGGAACCUCCCACUAGGCUUUUUCCUUCUCCACCCAAAGGCAGCAUAGUAAACAAAUGUCAGACCAGCUAAAACAAUGAAUCCAAUUUGAAACACGUUGUACUUGUAUAGAUACUUAAUUCCACGAAGAGAUUGCAGAUUGUGACCAAAUAUUUCUUGAGCUGCAGUGGCUUGAGCAUAGUAUGCAAAGGCCGUGGCGCAGAACUGAAUGACACUGAUGGAGCAAAGAAGAAUAAGGCCCACAUUGAAAAGAAAGGAGUUCAUGAGCGUAGCUCCCCACUUCAUUGGGUGAAUCGUAACAAAAACUAAUCUCAAGCCAAUCAUCAUAGCUCCGGCAAUCAC
rnacentral:misc_RNA from 1 species